UACAGAGGUGGCAAGCGUUGUUCGGAAUUACUGGGCGUAAAGGGCGCGUAGGCGGUCUUCUAAGUCUUGUGUGAAAUCCCUCGGCUUAACUGAGGAACUGCACGGGAUACUGGAUGACUUGAGUUCGGGAGAGGGAAGCGGAAUUCCGGGUGUAGCGGUGAAAUGCGUAGAUAUCCGGAGGAACGCCGGUGGCGAAGGCGGCUUCCUGGACCGACACUGACGCUGAGGCGCGAAAGCUAGGGGAGCAAACGGG
rnacentral:rRNA from 1 species